rnacentral:rRNA from 1 species
CCAGACUCCUACGGGAGGCAGCAGUGGGGAAUAUUGGACAAUGGGGGGAACCCUGAUCCAGCGACGCCGCGUGAGUGAAGAAGUAUUUCGGUAUGUAAAGCUCUAUCAGCAGGGAAGAAAGAAAUGACGGUACCCGACUAAGAAGCCCCGGCUAACUACGUGCCAGCAGCCGCGGUAAUACGUAGGGGGCAAGCGUUAUCCGGAUUUACUGGGUGUAAAGGGAGCGUAGACGGCAGUGCAAGUCCGGAGUGAAAGCCCGGGGCUCAACCCUGGGACUGCUCUGGAAACUGUAAAGCUGGAGUGCGGGAGGGGCAGGCGGAAUUCCUGGUGUAGCGGUGAAAUGCGUAGAUAUCAGGAGGAACACCGGCGGCGAAGGCGGCCUGCUGGACCGUAACUGACGUUGAGGCUCGAAAGCGUGGGGAGCAAACAGGAUUAGAUACCCGUGUA